rnacentral:rRNA from 1 species
ACCGAGAUGAAUACCCAUGGACCUAACACGUCCAUGGGCUGACAGUAUCGAGAGAAGAAGCCCCGGCUAACUCUGUGCCAGCAGCCGCGGUAAUACGAGGGGGGCAAGCGUUGUUCGGAAUUACUGGGCGUAAAGGGUUCGUAGGUGGCCGCUUAAGUCAGACGUGAAAUCCCUCAGCUUAACUGGGGAACUGCGUCUGAUACUGAGCGGCUUGAGUGCAGGAGAGGGAUGCGGAAUUCCAGGUGUAGCGGUGAAAUGCGUAGAUAUCUGGAGGAACACCGGUGGCGAAGGCGGCAUCCUGGACUGUAACUGACACUGAGGAACGAAAGCCAGGGGAGCAAACGGGAUUAGAUACCCCGGUAGUCCUGGCCCUAAACGAUGAAUGCUUGGUGUGGCGGGUAUCGAUCCCUGCUGUGCCGAAGUUAACGCGAUAAGCAUUCCGCCCGGGGAGUACGGUCGCAAGGCUG